AUUGAACGCUGGCGGCAGGCCUAACACAUGCAAGUCGAGCGAGCGGCGGACGGGUGAGUAACGUCUGGGAAACUGCCUGAUGGAGGGGGAUAACUACUGGAAACGGUAGCUAAUACCGCAUACCAUCAGAUGUGCCCAGAUGGGAUUAGCUAGUAGGGGGGGGAACGGCUCACCUAGGCGACGAUCCCUAGCUGGUCUGAGGGGAUGACCAGCCACCCUGGAACGGAGACACGGUCCAGACUCCUACGGGAGGAAGCAGUGGGGAUUAUUGGACAAUGGGCGCAAGCCUGAUGCAGCAAUGCCGCGUGGAUGAAGAAGGCCUUGGGGUUGUAAAGUACUUUCAGCGGGGAGGCGUUACCCGCAGAAGAAGCACCGGCUAACUCCGUGCCAGCAGCCGCGGUAAUUC
rnacentral:rRNA from 1 species